rnacentral:tRNA from 1 species
GGUGGGGUGCCUGAGUGGUUUAAAGGGACGGUCUUGAAAACCGCUGUGGCAGAGAUUGCCACCGUGAGUUCGAAUCUCACCCCCACCG